GCCUGGAUGCUGUCAUGUUUCCCGCCAUGAUGAUAAUGAACUAAACCUCUGAAACUGUAAACAUUUAAGCACAGUCUUCAUGAGGAGUGGGAAAGAGCAUCACAUCAGAGUUUGGAAUGCUGGAUUCUUCUGUGGCCCUAAGUGUCAGGCAGUGGAACUAGGAAUUGUCUCUGGAAUCUUCUCGUUAUUUCCUCUGAAUAACAUCCCAAUCAAGGCAGGACAGAAGAGGGCACCAGAUCUCAUUACUGAUGGUUGUGAGGCACCAUUGACUACAGGGAACUGAACCCAGGUUCAGAGAGAAGGCUGAGCCAUCUCUCCAGCCCUCAAGUGUUUGUGAAUGCAAAGAAAACUGUCGGGGAGAACCAUGCCCUCCAGGAGAGCCAUGGAGCCACACCCUCCAGGAAAUUAUUACUCUAACAGAACUGAAUGAAAUGAAGCACACAUUUUACAUAAUGCUGUAAGACACCAGCUUUAACUGAAUGCCUGAGCUGGACUGGGAAACUAGAAAAAGAAGCAUCACUUCUAUUGGAAGGAAAUCGACUCAUUUGAGGGAUGUGUGUGUGUAGGUGAGCAUACAUGUUUGUGCACAUGUGCAUGUAGAGGUUAAUGUUGGGUAUCUUCCUCUAUUGCUUUCUACCUUAGUUUUUGAGGCAGGCUCUUUAACUGACUCACAGACCACAGAUUUUGUUAGCUUAUGAGUCCCAGGCAUUAUCCUGUCUCCAGUGCUGGGGUUGCAAUAAUGUACUACCAUGCCUGGAUUUGUAUAUGGGCAUUGAGGAAUCCAAACUUGGGUUUCACGCUUAGAUGUCAAGAACUUUACCUACUGAGCCAUCAUCCUAGCUGCAAUUUGAGAGAUUUAAAAAAAAAUCACACAUAACUUCAUCAAUUGCUGGAAUCCACAGCUGGUUUCCUUUGUAAAGUGGCAAGGCUAAAUCAAACAUUAAUCAAGACUGCACCAUUUACAUACACACCAUGCUACUCAUGAAAAAGAAUUUUACGUAUCUAGGUGAAUUACCAGACUAAUUGAAAAGAGAAGGACUGGGACAGGGUAACCUACCAUAGAAGGUGAGGUAGCCAAAGAGAGCGGCAAGCAGGUACAUGACAAGCAUCCCUGUGAUGGAAAUGUUGGACACUGUCUGCAUCUUUCUCCGGGACCGACUGGCAAGAAAAAGAACACCAAGCUUCAUUUUAAAAAACUUUUUAAGUAUAACAAAAUAAAAAUUAUGAAACAAGACUUUAGACAUAAAGCUUACAACUUAUUUAAAUUUGUCUCAGAGAGCUAAAGAAGACUUAUUUUUCAUUUCUCUUAAACAAUGUUCUUUUAAUCUAGUAGUUCCUUUAAUGUCAAGUAACCUUAUCCACAGAUUAUUAUUGUAAUUAAUAAACACUAAAUGGUUUAACUGGCCCCUAUGGCAAAGCUUUUCCAUUUCACACUGAGAUGAGUUCAAUGAAGAAAACUACCUAGGGAAUCAGCAAAACCCCACUACCAAGAGAUCAGACUAUAUAUACUAGAAACCAGUAUAUAUAGCACUCACCUAAUCUUAAGGCUUACAGAGUUCAUAUUGUAUGUGAUUCACACAGUAAAUCUAAGACCUGCCCCCCCAAUAGCUUAAAGUGUUCCAGAACUUUAUAAGGCAAAUCAGAAUUUAAAGGACAAGGUAUCACCAUUAUUCAGGUUUAAAAAGUUAGGAAUCAUUGUCGAACACCCCAGCUGUUAGAAUAGGUUCAGACCAAAUGAGAUGCCAACAAUCUCAAAGCAGGUGAUUAUUAAUCACAGAUCCCUGCACUGCUGGGAACUAGCUAGUGUCCCCAUUGCACACACAAGGCCAUCAGUUCGGUGAACACCUUUAAGGAAAGGAACUGACCACUAGUAGCAUCAGUUGCUCUGCAAGGCUGCCCUAAUUCUUAAGUUUUAGUUAUCACGAGUAAUGUUAUUUCCAGUUUCAACAAAAUCCACAUUCAAAUCCAUACACCUGCCAAAAAUCAAUGCACCCACUAUCUCCUCCUCUGCCUGGGGGAAAUCCUUCCCUGAACCAUUAUGGCAGGAUGGGAGAGGAAGUAGAGUCUAGCAUUCGGGCUCACUCAAACCUUGCUUGAAACACAUUGCCAGUGAAUUAUUGUAGCACAAACUAUCUCUGCUCAGAAAGCCAUAGGAAAUGCCUCCUCAUAGGGCAUUUUGAAUAGAUGAACAUAUUUGCAAAUCAAAUGAGAAUGCUAAAAUGAUGGCUGCCUUACUCUUUAAGUUCACUGUAGAUGGGGAGGACCUCAGGAUGGCAGACAAAAGCAAAUGCUAGGAUUGGGAUCGCAUAGGCGGUCUGUAAAACAAACACCGUAUGUUUAGAGGUCCUGCAUAGAUGGUGAUUCCAGAGCAUCUCAGUGUAUGAAAUAAAACUCAAGAGACCACAGUGCUCAGCCUACUAGGGGUGUGGAUCUGUCACUUACCCGGGAA